UACGAAGGGUGCAAGCGUUACUCGGAAUUACUGGGCGUAAAGGGCUCGUAGGCGGCCAACUAAGUCGGAUGUGAAAUCCCCAGGCUUAACCUGGGAACUGCAUCCGAUACUGGAUAGCUUGAAUCCGGGAGAGGGAUGCAGAAUUCCAGGUGUAGCGGUGAAAUGCGUAGAUAUCUGGAGGAAUACCGGUGGCGAAGGCGGCAUCCUGGACCGGCAUUGACGCUGAGUGAGCGAAAGCCAGGGGAGCAAACGGG
rnacentral:rRNA from 1 species